GAUCAGCCAUGCCGCGUGUGUGAAGAAGGCCUUUUGGUUGUAAAGCACUUUAAGCGAGGAGGAGGAGCUCUUGGUUAAUACCCAAGAUGCUUGGACGUUACUCGCAGAAUAAGCACCGGCUAACUCUGUGCCAGCAGCCGCGGUAAUACAGAGGGUGCAAGCGUUAAUCGGAUUUACUGGGCGUAAAGCGCGCGUAGGUGGCCAAUUAAGUCAAAUGUGAAAUCCCCGAGCUUAACUUGGGAAUUGCAUUCGAUACUGGUUGGCUAGAGUAUGGGAGAGGAUGGUAGAAUUCCAGGUGUAGCGGUGAAAUGCGUAGAGAUCUGGAGGAAUACCGAUGGCGAAGGCAGCCAUCUGGCCUAAUACUGACACUGAGGUGCGAAAGCAUGGGGAGCAAACAGGAUUAGAUACCCUGGUAGUCCAUGCCGUAAACGAUGUCUACUAGCCGUUGGGGCCUUUGAGGCUUUAGUGGCGCAGCUAACG
rnacentral:rRNA from 1 species